GACGAACCGUGCUAACGUUGUUCGGAAUCACUGGGCUUAAAGGGCGCGUAGGCGGUCUAUCAAGUCGGGGGUGAAAUCUUUCGGCCCAACCGGAAAAGGGCCUUCGAUACUGAUAGACUCGAGCGAGGUAGGGGCAGAUGGAACUUCCGGUGGAGCGGUGAAAUGUGUUGAUAUCGGAAGGAACGCCGGUGGCGAAAGCGAUCUGCUGGACCUCUUCUGACGCUGAGGCGCGAAAGCCAGGGGAGCAAACGGG
rnacentral:rRNA from 1 species